GCGGAAUUAGUUUAGUGGCAAAAUGACUGCUUCCCAAGCAGUAGACACGAGUCCGAUUCUCGUAUUCCGCA
rfam:Candidatus Terrybacteria bacterium RIFCSPLOWO2_02_42_20 rifcsplowo2_02_sub10_scaffold_2205, whole genome shotgun sequence.